rfam:Penicillium freii strain DAOM 242723 scaffold_16, whole genome shotgun sequence.
UGAGGCCUCCGACGUGACACAACAUCCUGCAGCGGUGUUGUGUGACCUGCAGUGUCCGUCGCUGGCCUCG